UUCCUGAUCAGAUCCGUUAAAAGCACAGACCCUCUUCCCAGAGAGCCAGGUCUAGUUAUUCUGGGUGAGACUGAGGGUUCUAUAUUUUCCUACCUCCUCUGCCUCAUUGGACAAACUGGGAGACCUGGGCAAAGCAGCCCAGGGCUGCUCUCGAUGGGCUGGGGCUGAACCUGGCCUCUCGCCAUCACAUCCCCCUGCGGCUGACUCACCAGCUGUAAGUCACUGAACCUGGGGGUCUGUGUCUCUUCAGCUCCAACCUUGGUCCUGCCUUUGAGCCGAGAUCUCACAGUCCUGUUCAGCUAUAACAUGCCAUCCCUUUGCUCAGCGGUUCAGACUUGUCUGCUUUAUAACGUGCUCCUUGAAUACCUCUGACAUCUUUUUCCACGUGUCUUCCCACCAGCUGGAGAGCCUUCACUUCUCUGAUGCUGACCACAACAUCGUGAGGUCCAUUCUAUGAUUCUCUCCAUUUUCCAGCUAAGGAGCCGGAGACCUAAGUCACUUGUCUGCAUUCACACAGCUUUCCUGAGGGGAUGCAGCCUGGGCUCUGUGACCCCAGCAUCUUCAACUGCAGUGGAAACUGAGGCUCGAGAGAAGGGUUCCAAGCUCCCUAUGGACUUCAGGGCCAUCCGCUGUAGGAUUCUAAUUCAGUGCUGUGAUUGGAUGAGCUCGUCAAGGGAGAUAAAGUGCAGAGCAAAGAGCUGAGGACCAAGAAUGGAAAUGAAAGACUAAGAUGAGCAGCAAAGGGAAGAAGAGAAGACAAAGGUGGAGGCAAGCUGGAGCAGCAGAGAAGGGGGGAAGGUGGAGUAAAGCGUCUUAGAAGAAGGUGGAAACAUGUUCUAGUAGAGGGUGAUGCUCCUAUCAGGUGCUGUACAGAAAUGUCAAAAAGGAAACGUAUCUUAAGGCCAGGGGAUUGUUUAAUAUUUGUUGACUGGUUUGGUCAGCAUUUGCCUAAGUCUCCCCAAGCACCUGCAGGUGGAAGGUUGUCGAGGAAGCAAAUGGGCAACACCAGCAGCCUUCCUAGAAUUGUACCAGGUCCAGCACAGAAAGGUCAAGGGAAAUUUGCACUGUGGUUCCAUGCAUCAAAGAUGCAUACCUGGCACAUGCCAAGUAUCAAGGUUGCUUGAAACCCACAGGGUAUCUAUCACUCCUACAAAGCUAUGAAACCUCAGAAUCGCUCUGAGUUAACAAACUGACACUUAGUCACUUAGUUUAACACAUAAUCAGAGAUGGUCUUGACUCUCAUGUACUGGGCCCCCACUACCAUGUGCCAAAGAUCCAGAUCUUGUUUCAAGCUCUCCUCUCAGGUUCUGGCACCAGAUAACACGGAGUAUGGCCAUUUCCAGAAUUAGCUGGCACCCUUGUUCAUCUAGGAUUAUUGAUUGUAAUAUUUUACGUGCAAUGACAGAAUUUACAAACCAAGAUCAUUUUCUUCAACUUUGCCAGUUGCUGAUGAAUCUUUCAGCGUUUCUGAAACCCAGGGACUUUAAGAUGAUCUCGGCUAACACUGGCCUCUUUGGAAGAGGAGACGUUUCUUUCCUUUUCCUUGGUUAAAUAAUAAAUGAACUGGCAUCCAAGUUGCUAAAACUGAACUCCCAUUAGGGGCUUAAUGGCUUGAAAGUGUGUGUGCUGAGAAAGAGAGCUAGGACAGCCUGGAAGUCUUUAGAAACUGUAGGAUGUUAUAACUAAAGCAACAUUGGAGUUCCCUUCGUGGCUCAGCAGUUAACAAACCCAACUAGGAUCCAUGAGGAUGCAGGUUCUAUCCCUGGCCUUGCUCAGUGGGUUAAAGAUCUGGCGUUGCCAUGGGCUGUCAUGUAGGUUGCAGACACAGCUCGGAUCCCAUGUUGCUGUGGCUGUGGUGUAGGCCAGCAGCUGUAGCUCCAAUUCAAUCCCUAGUCUGAGGACCUCCAUAUGCCAUGGGUGCGGACACCCCCCCCUCAAAAAAAACAAAAACAAAAACUGAAGCAACAUCAAAAACCAUUUAUCUUAAGCCUGUCUCUUGCUGAUGAGCAAAAUGGAGCCAAGAAAUGUGAAGGGUUUUGCUCAAGUCCUGCAGCUGGUUACAGCAUUAGAACUAGAGCCUAGGUCUCUUGACUUUAAUCCAGUUCUCUUUCCACUGUGCUGCUCAAAAAAACAGUGCACUGAUCCACGAAUAUCCUCCCCGUAGCAUCCCCAGCAUGUUAGCAUCUAAUAUCACCUACUGUCUCCAUAGGUACAAGCUUGUGCCUUAAGCAAAAGAGAAGGGAAGCAAGAGAGACAGGCAGACAAGCUCUUCAAAACGUAUUGAGCAAAUACUGAAGGAGUUUCUUAAGAGGUAACAUAAGCUUUGGGGAAAGACCACUCAGGCUUUGAAAUAGUCACUCUUGGUUUUAAUCCCAGCUUCAUCCUUUUUGAUGUGCAAGUUUGGGCAAGUUGUUCCUUAAAAUCUGUAUUCGUUUUCCAUUGUUCCUGAGACAAAUGACCACAAACCUAGUGGCUUCAAACCAUACAAGAAGCUCUCCUGUGUUGCAGUGGGUUAAGGAUCUGGCAUUGUCACUGCAGCGGCUUGGGUCACUGCUAUGGUGUGGGUUUGAUCCCUGGCCCAGGAACUUCUACAU
rnacentral:lncRNA from 1 species